GUCUGCUUGAGAUAUGAGGCUUUCCUGGGCAGAGAGGAGUAAGGAAGUACUGCAGCAGGUUAAUGGGAGGUGGGCAGAUCAAGAAUUGAAAGAUCAAGCAGCACAGUUCAAAAGUUGAAAGAGAUUAGAUAAAAGAUGGGUUGUACGGAAGAGCCCAAGGAAGAGAUGAAACAACUGAUGACAAUGAGACCCUAGGGGACAGAAGACUUAUGAAAGGGAAGAAGCUCCUGUUCCCAAAUCACCAUGUGUUGAAGAGAGAUACCAGCCAUCCAGGAGUAGCCACCAUGUACUGUUAUUUUUCCCACCAAAGCCACACACCUCAGUCUGCCCCCGCUGCAUGUCUCUGAGGCCCUCCAAGUCACCAUCCCUCUGCUGG